CUGACUGUGGCUAUUAUGAAAGUGCUGUAUCAACAAGAGCUCAGAAGAAAAUGUUUCAUUUCUCUGAUGUGCAAAUGACAGCACUGCGUGCAUACCCAUACUCUACCAGCACAAUUCAGUGAGUUAUAAGCCGAAUAACAACCCCUUACAACUCAUGGGGUUCUCCUUGUUUAAUAACCGUGUUGUUCUAAAACAACAAGCUUACGUCAGAUGAAAAAAAACACCAACAAAAAUUUCAAAGGACCAAAGAGAAGGAAGGAGAUGGAGGAGGCUGUGUGCCACAGGCACUGACUCAUUUGCAGGCGUUCACCAGUGAUGCCUGUCACUUCGAGAUGGAGACACCUCUAAGACAUGACAGAGCUACAGUUCCUGCAGCACCCACAGGAAACAGUUGUUAUCCCACAGAUAACUCCGUUAACAAGAAAUCAGCCAAAUACUGAAAUGUUUGUAGGCUUUUGUGGGAUUGGAAAUGGAGUACAGCAAAGAAUUGCUGGUUAAGCUGCACCUCAUAACAAAGUGGUCAAUAACUGAAAGCAGAGCUCUCCCCACAAACAACUUGCCUGCUUGAUUUGGAAGAUUAAGCAGAUUUGUAGGGAGUUCUCCACCAUUCCUGGACACAAUCCCAAUAACUGGACUACCGCCUGGCUGCUGUCAGCUUUUCCCCAGUCAGCAUCCGAGUGCUGCAAAUCUCAUCCUCUCAUUUCUGACUUCUCCGAAUCCCUAUACAGAGGACAUCAGAAGCAGAUUCAGCACCACAGAUUCCCAUUCUGGGAUUUAACUUUCAAUCCCUGUAUGAUUUAGGUCCUCUUUGAGUCUCAUCUGUGAAGUCCUUUGAAAAUCUGGCUCACUGCAAACCUUAAGAGCAUAUUGUGUACUACUGCCACUGGAAACCUCUCUGGGAACCCACUGGAAGCUGUUGAACACUCCUUGCACAGAUACAUUGGGCAAGCAUCUCAGCCGUGCUUACACCGCCUCUCAAAAGGAACACCAAAAUCUUACAGAUUUACUGGAGGAUACGGUCACUCUCUACUUUCUUUAAGUAAAAAUUCAACCAGUCCAUUAAGCUUGUUGGCUUCGUCUUUCUGAGUAAAUACAUAAUGCCCUCAGAGAGCCUCUUUUCUUCCAUAGCAGAAGGAUCCUCCUUGCCUCUGAGCACAUUUCUGGGUUUAAAAUAGUCCCUCAAAGGUAUUUCUUAAGUAAACCUUUCAGAGGCUUUUAUAGGGCAAGUUUCCCCCUCACCCCCCGCUUUG
ensembl:lncRNA